rnacentral:rRNA from 1 species
UACGAAGGGGGCAAGCGUUGUCCGGAAUCAUUGGGCGUAAAGAGCGCGUAGGCGGCCCUGUAAGUCCGCUGUGAAAGUCAAGGGCUCAACCCUUGGAUGCCGGUGGAUACUGCAGGGCUAGAGUCCGGAAGAGGCGAGUGGAAUUCCUGGUGUAGCGGUGAAAUGCGCAGAUAUCAGGAGGAACACCGAUGGCGAAGGCAGCAAACUGGUCAUCAACUGACGCUGAGGCGCGAAAGCGUGGGUAGCAAACAGG